rnacentral:tRNA from 1 species
GCCCUGAUGGUCUAGCGGUAUGAUUCUCCCUUAGGGCAUCCAGCUUACAUGGGAGAGGUCCCAGGUUCGAAUCCUGGUUAGGGCC